GAUGAACGCUGGCGGCGUGCUUAACACAUGCAAGUCGAACGGAAAGGCCCUGCUUGCAGGGUACUCGAGUGGCGAACGGGUGAGUAACACGUGGGUGAUCUGCCCUGUACUUUGGGAUAAGCCUGGGAAACUGGGUCUAAUACCGAAUAUGACAAUUGUUUGGAUGCGAUUGUGGAAAGCUUUUGCGGUAUGGGAUGAGCUCGCGGCCUAUCAGCUUGUUGGUGGGGUAAUGGCCUACCAAGGCGUCGACGGGUAGCCGGCCUGAGAGGGUGUACGGCCACAUUGGGACUGAGAUACGGCCCAGACUACGACGGGAGGCAGCAGUGGGGAAUAUUGCACAAUGGGCGCAAGCCUGAUGCAGCGACGCCGCGUGGGGGAUGAAGGCCUUCGAGUUGUAAACUCCUUUCGCAACCGACGAAGCCUUUUGGUGACGGUAGGUUGAGAAGAAGCACCGGCUAACUACGUG
rnacentral:rRNA from 1 species